ACGGGGGGUGCGAGCGUUGUCCGGAAUCACUGGGCGUAAAGGGCGCGUAGGUGGUUUGAUAAGGGUGUGGUGAAAGCCCGGGGCUCAACCCCGGGUCUGCCGUGCCGACUGUCAAACUCGAGGGCUGUAGAGGCAGACGGAAUUCCGGGUGUAGCGGUGGAAUGCGUAGAGAUCCGGAAGAACACCGGUGGCGAAGGCGGUCUGCUGGGGUCGAACUGACGCUGAGGCGCGACAGCGUGGGGAGCAAACAGGA
rnacentral:rRNA from 1 species